rnacentral:rRNA from 1 species
GUUGUGAGGUUAAGCGAACAAGCGUACACGGUGGAUGCCCUGGCAGUCAGAGGCGAUGAAGGACGUGCUAAUCUGCGAAAAGCGCCGGUAAGGUGAUAUGAACCGUUAUAACCGGCGAUGUCCGAAUGGGGAAACCCAGUGCAAUUCGUUGCACUAUCUCAGCAUGAAUACAUAGUGCUGUGAGGCGAACCGGGGGAACUGAAACAUCUAAGUACCCCGAGGAAAAGAAAUCAACCGAGAUUCCCCCAGUAGCGGCGAGCGAACGGGGAACAGCCCAGAGCCUGAAUCAGCUUGUGUGUCAGUGGAACGGUCUGGAAAGGCCGGCGAUACAGGGUGACAGCCCCGUACACGAAGGCACACAGGUUGUGAGCUCGAUGAGUAGGGCGGGACACGUGAUAUCCUGUCUGAAGAUGGGGGGACCAUCCUCCAAGGCUAAAUACUCCUGACUGACCGAUAGUGAACCAGUACCGUGAGGGAAAGGCGAAAAGAACCCCGGCGAGGGGAGUGAAACAGAACCUGAAACCGUGUACGUACAAGCAGUGGGAGCCUUCGUAAGAGGGUGACUGCGUACCUUUUGUAUAAUGGGUCAGCGACUUAUAUUCUGUAGCAAGGUUAACCGUAUAGGGGAGCCGAAGGGAAACCGAGUCUUAA